rnacentral:rRNA from 1 species
GAUGAACGCUAGCUACAGGCUUAACACAUGCAAGUCGAGGGGAAACGACAUCGAAAGCUUGCUUUUGAUGGGCGUCGACCGGCGCACGGGUGAGUAACGCGUAUCCAACCUGCCCAUCACUUGGGAAUAACCUUGCGAAAGUAAGACUAAUACCCAAUGGUAUCCCACGAAGGCAUCGGAAUGGGAUUAAAGAUUUAUCGGUGAUGGAUGGGGAUGCGUCUGAUUAGCUUGUUGGCGGGGUAACGGCCCACCAAGGCAACGAUCAGUAGGGGUUCUGAGAGGAAGGUCCCCCACAUUGGAACUGAGACACGGUCCAAACUCCUACGGGAGGCAGCAGUGAGGAAUAUUGGUCAAUGGGCGAGAGCCUGAACCAGCCAAGUAGCGUGCAGGAAGACGGCCCUAUGGGUUGUAAACUGCUUUUAUAAGGGAAUAAAGUGGGUCACGUGUGACUUUUUGCAUGUACCUUAUGAAUAAGGACCGGCUAAUUCCGUG